ensembl:misc_RNA Metazoa_SRP Metazoan signal recognition particle RNA
ACUGGGCAUAGUGGUGCAUGCCUAUAAUCCUAGCUACUGAGAAGGCUGGGAUUGGUGGAUCUCUUGAGCUCAGGAGUUCUGAGCUUGAGGGGAUUAAGAUGAAAAAGUAUCAUCACCGAGUUCAGCAUUAAUACUGUAAGGCUUUGGGAACAGAGGGCCAGGAGGUCGCCUAACAAGAGCUAAAUCAACUCAGGCCAGAAAUAGAGUAGGUAAAAGUUCCCAUGCUGAUCAGUAGAGAGAUCCAACCAAUGAGUACUCCGGCAUUUCAAGCUGGACCAGAUGGGGAGGCUUAGUCUUU